rnacentral:misc_RNA from 1 species
AAAAAAAAAAGAAGAAGACCACCGCCUUAUUUGCUUGUUGUCUAAUUCAAAAAUCAACCUAGAAGAUCCAGGAGAUUCUGAAUGAAAUCUGCCGGAUCUUGCUUUCCAAAUUGUCUAGAUUUCCUACAGGAUUCGUAUCCCUAUGCCGUCCCAUUUAAAACUCUCCUACCUUCUCUUCUCUCUUCAUGAUUUCUCCUCCUCUUUAAUUUCUCGGUGUUCAUCUUUCUUGCAAUUACUAUCGGUAUGGCUGGUGAGUCUCAUCAGUUCCAUGUUCUUGCUGUUGAUGACAGUCUC